rnacentral:lncRNA from 1 species
UGGGCAUUUAUUUAUUUAUUACUGCGGACCGUAGUACAGGGCAUUAACCUCACCAUGGACAGUUGCUAUUGCGAUGAUGAAGCAAGCAAUGUCAUGACUACCCUUUGCACAUAUAGCAACGUCUCCAUAACUGACGGCCGGAGUCUGUGCUGAAAUAGAUGUGCAGUGCAUCAAUAUUGUUCAGACCACUCCUUGGGUCUCCUGUUGGAGCAAAACUAGCUCAGUGUGAAUGCGCCGUGAUAUCAACACACAAAUCAAUCAUACAUGCUGGCAUGCAUUUAAACAAGAAAUGGUAAAGGUAAUCAUUUUUAUAAGCAGAGAUACAGUGCAAAAUUGAUGAACAAAUAUCAGAUAAAAUGGACUGAGUUUACCCACCACACCACACCAG